GUUGUAUGGUUAAGUGACUAAGCGUACACGGUGGAUGCCUUGGCAGUCAGAGGCGAUGAAAGGCGUAUUAACUUGCGAUAAGCCUAGAUUAGGUAGU
rnacentral:rRNA from 1 species